ACGUAGGGGGCAAGCGUUAUUCGGAAUUAUUGGGCGUAAAGAGUGCGUAGGUGGUUUUUUAAGCGUGAGGUGAAAUGCAAUAGCUUAACUAGUGUAAGCCUUGGGAACUGGAAGACUUGAGUUCCGGAGAGGAAAGUGGAAUUCCUAGUGUAGCGGUGAAAUGCGUAGAUAUCAGGAGGAACACCAGUGGCGAAGGCGGCUUUCUGGACUGAAACUGACGCUGAGGAACGAAAGCGUGGGUAGCAAACAG
rnacentral:rRNA from 1 species